CGGAGCUGUAGGAGAAACACAAACUACCUCAGACACACAGACUGAUGCGACAAAACCAGCCAGGUCUGUGUAGUUCUUUCUGCAGUAGCUCUGAACCUCAUACCAAGUAAAAGACUUAUUAACAAAGUGGUACUGAUGGCAUUUGGAGAGGACGAGCCCCCCUGUGAGGAAAAUAUGAAUGAUGAACAUCUCUCAACAUGUAAGCUGGCUGUAUUACAACAUAUCACAGCAAUAAGGACUGGCCAAGGGAGACAAAAGAAUCCACUGACCUGAGAGAUACAAGACACCCAGCAGGAUCUUCACAAUCAUCAUGCUGCUCUGUGGACUGGAAGAGGAAAGUCUGGCUAUGUAAUCAAAAUGCCAGGCCUACGUAGUUCUUUCUGCAGUAGCUCUGAGCCUCAUACCAAGUAAAAGGCUUAUUAACAAAGUGGUACCGACGGCAUUUGGAGAGGACGAGCCCCCCUGUGAGGAAAAUAUGAAUGAUGAACAUCUCUCA